GGGUUGUGAGGUUAAGCGACUAAGCGUACACGGUGGAUGCCCUGGCAGUCAGAGGCGAUGAAGGGCGUGCUAAUCUGCGAUAAGCGCCGGUAAGGUGAUAUGAACCGUUAUAACCGGCGAUACCCGAAUGGGGAAACCCAGUGUGAUUCGUCACACUAUCAUUAACUGAAUCCAUAGGUUAAUGAGGCGAACCGGGGGAACUGAAACAUCUAAGUACCCCGAGGAAAAGAAAUCAACCGAGAUUCCCCCAGUAGCGGCGAGCGAACGGGGAGGAGCCCAGAGCCUGAAUCAGCAUGUGUGUUAGUGGAAGCGUCUGGAAAGGCGCGCGAUACAGGGUGACAGCCCCGUACACAAAAGCGCAUGUGCUGUGAGCUCGAUGAGUAGGGCGGGACACGUGGUAUCCUGUCUGAAUAUGGGGGGACCAUCCUCCAAGGCUAAAUACUCCUGACUGACCGAUAGUGAACCAGUACCGUGAGGGAAAGGCGAAAAGAACCCCGGCGAGGGGAGUGAAAAAGAACCUGAAACCGUGUACGUACAAGCAGUGGGAGCCCCACCACUAAGCCAGUGGUGAACUCCACAUACGCAUCCUUUGCUGAGGAUACGGUUAACGGAGCGAAAGCGACGUUCAACCGCAAAAGAAGCAGAGGGGGCUUAGUGGUGGGGUGACUGCGUACCUUUUGUAUAAUGGGUCAGCGACUUAUAUUCUGUAGCAAGGUUAACCGAAUAGGGGAGCCGGAGGGAAACCGAGUCUUAACCGGGCGUUAAGUUGCAGGGUAUAGACCCGAAACCCGGUGAUCUAGCCAUGGGCAGGUUGAAGGUUGGGUAACACUAACUGGAGGACCGAACCGACUAAUGUUGAAAAAUUAGCGGAUGACCUGUGGCUGGGGGUGAAAGGCCAAUCAAACCGGGAGAUAGCUGGUUCUCCCCGAAAGCUAUUUAGGUAGCGCCUCGUGAAUUCAUCUCCGGGGGUAGAGCACUGUUUCGGCUAGGGGGCCAUCCCGGCUUACCAACCCGAUGCAAACUGCGAAUACCGGAGAAUGUUAUCACGGGAGACACACGGCGGGUGCUAACGUCCGUCGUGAAGAGGGAAACAACCCAGACCGCCAGCUAAGGUCCCAAAGUCAUGGUUAAGUGGGAAACGAUGUGGGAAGGCCCAGACAGCCAGGAUGUUGGCUUAGAAGCAGCCAUCAUUUAAAGAAAGCGUAAUAGCUCACUGGUCGAGUCGGCCUGCGCGGAAGAUGUAACGGGGCUAAACCAUGCACCGAAGCUGCGGCAGCGA
rnacentral:rRNA from 1 species